GGGCGUGUAGCUCAGUUGGCAGAGCACUUGACUUUUAAUCAAGUUGUCCGGGGUUCGAAUCCCCGCACGCUCA
rnacentral:tRNA from 1 species